UUUGAUUUUUAUCGUUGCUAAAGCUGAAUAAUGGUGUUACGAGCCAUGUUAGAUUGACAAUCCAUAUUGGACCUUUAGCGUAUCAAGUAUGAAACGCAAAUGGGCUUGAGCUGAAGUCCAAAGCAUGAGAAAGCAUUUCUGAGAUAGCAUGACAACUUGUGUACAAACUGCUAAAUAGGCUCAAAAGGACCGGGCCCAAAAGUGAGUGAGUCCAAAUGACUCCAAACCCAUGCACCAAUUUAACCUUACCCUAACCAUUUCGAGUUAAGAUUUUGGGCUUCCGAAUGUGCCCAGCACACACAAUUUCAGCAAAUCACAUUUGUAGUACUGUAAAAAAACUUAAUUUGGUAUAGGAAUUUUAAACUAAUAGCUACAUAUCCAUAUGAAUCAAUGAUUGGAGACAAUAUUAAUAUCCCUCCCCCUGAUGAUUAUCACAACAUAAUCAGUUGUAGUGGAACUAAGAAGGAACAACGAAAUAAUAGUAAAAAUGAAUUAUUAUAACAUUGUUCAUCCUAAUAAAAUCAAUACUACAACUUCUUUUACAGCUUAAUCUGACUUUACCACACGUAAACAUAAUUACUCCAAGCUCGAAAACUCCUGGGUUGAAUAUCAACAAUUAUCAUGGAAGACAUUUGUUAUCAGAAAUGAGUAGGCUACUGCAAUUUUAGCAUGUUAUAUGGAAUUUUAGGCAUACAAUGAGUAGGAAAAUUAAAAAAUAACACAGUAUAUUCAACUUAUCACUCAAAAAUAGAUUUCAAACAAUAAUCAAACAAACACAACUUGAGGGAUAUCAAAUAAAUUAGCAACAAUGAAAAUCAAAGCAAUUAACAACUUUGUGCUUCAAAUAAACCACAUUUCCAUUAUUUGAUCGAGAAUGGUACCUGGCUUACAACAUAAUAGACAAAAAGAAAAUAAAUCUCUGAAGUUGGGAAGGAGUAACAUGAAGAACAAACAUAGUAGCAGAAAACAACAUACAACAGCUUUAAACCUUACUCCCAAAACUCCAAAAUAGAACCAAUGGAACUAUGUUGAUGAAUUCUGAUUCCUACUUUCAGAAUAUUUUUUGUGAGAAGAAACAAGUGAGGGUGAGUGUUGAUUCUCUGAUAAUAUAGAAAAAAUAAAAGUGUAUGCAGAUUGAGAGUAAUGAAAAAUUCUCCGAAGAAAUGUCAAAAUCUGUGUGUGUGUUGUGUAGAGAGUCAAGGAAUAUAUAGGAGACUGUCAACCGUAAAAAUAGAACAAAAAUAUCUUUUUCAAUCGAUUUUUAUACAAAUGUCACUUUUUAGUUAUUCUUUCAUCCUUUUUAAACCUUAGUAUUUUUUGUAUUCACUCUUCAGCCCUAACACCUGGCCACCUUAUUUUCUUUCUUUGCAAAUUGGCCCCUCCUAGAAGCUUCCUAAAUAACUAAACAAGAUUCCCUACUUUUGGUAUACCCUUUAGCCCCUUCAAUUCCUGUAUUUACUAUUUAUUUCAGAUUUAAAACCUAAAAGCAGACUAAGACUUAGAUCCUAGUUAAAACGAGCAAAUGUUAAACAUAACUGAUUAAGAAAUUACUAAUUAAUUAAGACAGAACAUUGGCAUUUAAUUAAUUUCUAAGAAAACAAAAUGCGAUUUAAACUACCAAUUUUGCCUAAACAUCAUGAUUAAGGACUAACAAAAUCACUGAUAACCUACCUCUAAAUAAAUUUGAGUCUUGACCAAAUGAAUUUCAAAAUACAAAUACAACUUGCCAAUAUUAACAAUUUAAAUCAAUCAACCAAAUGAGUUCAAUCGAAGAAAUUAAUCCUAAGUAAAACCUAAACAAAGUGAUAGAUCCACGAAAAACAAAAAUUUCUAACCUAAUGCAAAUAUCUCAAAAGUGGGGAGAGGAUGAAAAAGAGAUUACCUAUUGAAGCUCUAUUAAUAUGGUAGAGAAAACCUUCCAGAAGAAUUGGCCGGCCAACAGCCAGCUAACUAAAACGUGACUUCCGAGAAAUGGGAUGAAACUCACAUCAGUGGACAUCUCUUGUAAAGAGCUUUCUGCUAAUGUGAGUCUCAACCAUAAAAGAGGACGGAUUGUUUGAGGUCAUGAAGACAGAUUGCAUGGCAGCUAGGGUUUGGUUUUGAGAUUUGAAAUUUGAGAGAUUAAGUGAGUUUUUAGCAAAAAUUAACAGUGGGAUAGUCAUGGGGAGAUGAUAGAGAGAUUGUAUGGUGGGAGUUUGGGUGGAUUUGGGGUUGUGCACUGGUAGGGGUGGUGGUAGGCAGCUAGGGUUUGAAAGGAUUUGACAAAAGAGGAAAUUAAGGGCUUCUAUAGGGUUAGGGGUAUUCGGACAGAUAUAAGGGAAGGGGGAGGUCAGUUCUGGACCGUAGGAUCAGAUUAGAUGAAUGGCCAUGAUCAUCUGUGACCAAAACGGCGUCAUGUGGAUUUGGAAGGGGUCUAGGCCAGGUAAUGGGAGUGGGUUGGACGGGUUUGAGGGAAUUUGGGCCGCCUGAAGCUGGUCUAAUUUCGGAAUCUUAAGAAAACAAGCCCCAUUGCUCUUCAUUUAACUUUAAAUGACCGAAUUGACAAUUAAACUAAUUUAAAUAAAAAAUUUAACUAUUUAAUUACCAACAUGCCAAAGAAAUUAGCUAAAUUAUUUUUGUAAUUUUCAUUUAUUAACCAUGCAAUUAAUAUGUGAUUAAAUCCUAAAAAUGCAAUAAAAUCUAAAAUACAACAAGUGAAAGAUUAAAAAAAUAUUUUUUGAUGAUUUUUUAGGAUUUUAAAAUAUCUCUAAAUAUGAAUACAACUAAAUGCAAAUAAUGUAAACACACAAAUAAAGAGGAAUUUCUAAAAAUUCUAAGAAUCAAAAGACACCAAAAAAAAAGAAUUAUUUAUUUUUUGGAUUUUUAAGAGUAAUUGGAAGAAAAAGUCAAAUGCCCAUAAAGGCAAAAUAAAGUUGAAAAAGGUUAAGUCCUACACGACCAAACGUCAUGGCAAAGUUUAGAGAAGACAAAGGUUCUCCGGGGCCAAAACUGCAAUCAGUAUCCAGGAAACAACCAGUUGCAGUCGAAAGUAUCAUCAAAGAAGCCGGGACAAGAUCAAGUGACUGAAGCAUUCAAGGCCACAAACCAACCACUGUUUUUAAACUGACAAAAUGUUCUUUGUUUGAAAAACAGGAAACAAGUGCAAUCCAAAGCAACCUUGCAAGAAGCAGGUGCAACCAAAAGAAGCGGCACAGAGACUAAAAUAACUCUACAGCAGAAACAACUCCAAAAAAGGAAGUCUUCUCCAAAUUCUUUUCAGUAUUUUACUCAUUCUCUUAAUGGAAAAAAGAAAGAAAAGAAAAGAAAGAAGUUUAAAAUCAUGUUAGUAUAGGGUCUCCAAUCCUUAGUUGCAUUUUCUAACAUAGGGUCUCCACUCCCUAGUUAAUUUUAUUUUUAGCUAUAGGGUCUCCACUCCCUAGUCUUCUUUUCUAACAUAUGGUCCCCACUCCUUAGUUGAUGUUAUUUUAGAUAUAGGGUAUCCACUCCCUAGUCUUCUUUUCGAUCAUAGAGUUUCCACUUCCUAAUUGACGUUAUUUUAGACAUAGGGUCUCCACUUCCUAGUCUUCUGUUCCAACAUAGGGACUUCACUCCCUAGUUGAUUUUAUUUUUUGACAUAGGGUCUCCACUCCCAAAUUGAUGUUAUUUUAGACAUAGGUUCUCCACUCCCUAGUCUCCCUUUCCAACAUAGGGUCUCCACUCCCUCGUUGAUAUUAUUUUAGACAUAGGGUCUCUACUCCCUAGUCUCCUUUUCCAACAUAGGAUCUUCACUCCCUAGUUGAUGUUAUUUAAGACAUAGGGUCUCCAUUCCCUAGUCUUCUUUCCAAAAUAGGGUCUCCAUUCCCUAGUUGAUGUUAUUUUAGAUAUAUGGUCUCCACUCCCUAGUCUCCUUACCAGUGUAUGGUACACCAAUCCCUAGCUGUGUUUUCCAACUUAAGGUACAUGAAUCCCUAGUUGAGGCACCAUUUUGGCAAUCGGGGUACUACAUUUCCAAAUAAUCAUGUUUUCCCAAGGCACACCAAUCCCGACCUUUUAUUGCUUUCAAUAAUAAAGUUGUAUAGAGUUUUGUUACAAAUAACUCAAGAAAUUUUUCUAGUGAAAACUGGGGAAGAAAAUUUUUAUUCAUUUGUUUGUUUUGGGUCUGAGCAGGUUUUACUUCGAGGCAUGUGGUUUCAGACAACUAGAAGAAGAAGCCUCAAUCCAGAAUAAAUGAAAAGAACAAAAAGGAGUAAAUCCAAAAUGCAGAAGUAGAUUAAAAGAUGUGGACAACUCAAGACAUGACUGAAGUCGUGAACAUUGCAUUUCCAAUUUUGAUCAGAAAAAUCCUUAGAAGAAUGAACUAACACAUACAAUUAGCAAGCAUCAAGGUUCAGAUCAGAGUCUGCAUGAAGAACCGGUCAAGACUCAAGAUGAAGUUUCAGAAGACCUACAGAUAUGAAUCUUGUAACUCAUGGCUGAUAGCUUGUUUAGCUUCUCUCCAUUUCCGAUUUUUGUGUAAUAAGGAGUUCAGCAAGCAGCAACAGUAGCAACAACGGUGAAAUCACAACCUCUCGGUAUUCCCAGCUACCAAAAUUUCCAGAACUACACUGACCUGAUUUCUUUAUAGCCAAGGAUAUGUAGGCAACCUUCGGAGUAAGGUUCAGUCAAACCUUUUCAAAAUGCUUCCAAAUGAAGUAUCAAACAGGCAAAAAUUGUUCAUGAUUUCUCACUUUAUCUUUGUCUGAAAACUCUUCAUGUUCUCGAGCAAAGAGGGACAGCUGUGAGCACAGAUUGAUUGAAAACAAUUGAAAAGUACUUGGGUAAAAAGAAUUUGAAUUGAAUUACAACUUUGGAACCUUCAGGCGAAACCAUCGUCGAACCAUUAUAACGUCUGAAAUAGUUUCAACUUUUGGGGGAAUAUGAAUUUUUGUUUUGGUGUGACUGAAGCCAGAGAGAGGCUGCCUACGUAUCCUUUGGGAAUCAAGUCGAACGUAGUUCAAGGAACUUUGUUUUGAUUUUCUUUUCUUUUGUUUCCUUUUCUUUUAAUUUUUUCAUUCAUUAUUUUUUUUUUUGAAUUUAAUAAUAACUUCCAAGUUCUAAAGAGGGUAAUCAAAGAAAGGGAACCGGCUCAACGGGUUUGCAAAGUUUGAUAGUGUUUGGAUAGCGAGAAAGAAAGCCUUCGUCAUCCCAAUCGGAUCUUAUUAAAGCUAUGCAAAAAUGGUUAAACGUAAUACCUUUUUACCGUAUCUACAGUGACAGCUAUCUCGGGGUCAUGAUUUCCUUUGAUCUCUCCCAAAUACAACGCUCCCUACAGCAACACUCUUCUUAUAAUGUACGGACCUUUCCAAAUUGGAACAAAUUUUCCUUUGGCUUCUUCGUGAUGUGGGAGAAUACGUCUCAGAACGAGUUGACCCACUUCAAAUUUUCUGGGCCGCACUUUCUUGUUGUAGGCACGGGCCAUUCUUUGUUGGUACAACUGCCCAUGGAAAACUGUGGCCAUCUAUUUUUCAUCAAUCGUAGUCAAUUAUUCCCACCGGGUUUUGACCCAUUCAUCAUCCUCGAUCUCGACUUCAACAAUGAUACGAAGAGAAGGAAUCUCAACUUCUGCAGGUAUCACGGCCUCAGUGCCAUAAACCAGUAAGUAGGGUGUGGCCCCAACUAAUGUGCGCACGAUUGUGCGAUAUACCAAUAGUGCAAAAGGCAACUUUUCAUGCCAUUUUCUAGAACCCUGCACCAUUUUCCUGAAGAUCUUCUUGAUGUUCUUGUUUGCGGCUUCAACGGGCCAUUAGCUUUGGGCCGAUAAGGAGUAGAAUUGCGAUGAUUAAUUUUAAAUCGUUCGUGUACUUCCCUCAUCAAGUGGCUGUUUUGAUUUGCAACAUUAUCUGUAAUUAUAGUUUUAGGAAUACCAUAACGACAAAUAAUGUUAGAAUGCAUGAAGUCCACCACUGUUUUCUUGGUGACGGCUUUGAAAGUGACCGCUUCGACCCACUUUGUGAAAUAAUCGAUGGCAACCAAGAUGAAUUAGUGCCUAUUUGAAUCUUUCAACUUAAUUUGCCCAAUAACAUCCAUGCCCCAGGCUACGAACGACCAAGGUGCUGACAUAGGAUGUAACCCUGAAGGCGGUGCAUGAAUUAGGUCACCGUGUAUCUGCCACUGAUGGCAUUUUAAAAUGAAACUAAAACAAUCUUUUUCCAUGGUCAUCUAGUAAUAACCUUCCCAGAGGAUUUUCUUUGCAAGGACAUACUCAUUCAUAUGAGGCCCAUGCAGUCUCGAACGCACUUCGUUAAUGAUCUUUUUAGCUUCUCGGGAAUCUACGCACCCCAAAAGGUUUAGAUCUGGAGUUCUUUUGUAUACGACCUCUCCACUCAAAAAGAAACUACUUGCAAGACUUCUGAUAGUUCUCUUAUGAUCCCCGCCAACCUGCUCGGGAUAUUCUUUUAUUUUCAAGAAUCUUUUGAUAUCGCGAUACCAUGGUUGGACAUCUGGCUCUAUUUCAAUUGCGUUAUUCCUUUCUCGAACCUGGAUUUCGACAUGAACACUACCUGUGUAUGGCAGCAUUGAGGCCAAAGUAGCUAGUGCAUUAGCUAACUUAUUGUGGAAUCGAAAAAUAUACUUGAACUCGAUGGACUUGAGCCGUUUGCUGAGAUCUUCCACAUGUUUCAUGAACGAGAUGAGUUUUCUGUCUCGAGUUUCCAACUUACCUUGGGCUUAACGAAUGAUAAAUCAAUAUCCCCCAUGAUUAAUAAUUCCUUUACAUCCAGAUCAAUAGCCAUAUUCAUGCCCAUAAUGAAGGCUUCAUAUUCGGCGAUGUUUUUUAUACAGAAAAAUCGGAGAUGGGCUGUGGCCAGAUAGUGACCUGUGGGAGAAAUCAGAAUUUCCCCAAUCGCCAUGCCUUUUGCAUUUACGGCCCCAUCGAAGAACAUUUUCUAGGAAUUGAUGUUCUCUAGGAUCAUUUUAACCAAGUUUACUUCCUCGUCCAGAAAGUAAGUGCUUAGGGGUUGGUAUUCAUCAUCGACCAGGUUCUCAGCUAGAUGAUCCGCCAGGGCUCUGGCUUUAAUAGUCGUACGAGUGACAUAGACAAUAUCAAACUUAGUGAGCAGGAUCUGCCAUUUUGCUAACUUUUCCGUGGGCAUCGGCUUCUGGAAUAUAUACUUCUAAAGAUCCAUCUUGGUUAUGAGUUCUGCCGUGUAGGCCAGCAAGUAAUGUCUGAGCUUCUAGGCAACUCAAGUUAGGGCACAACAAGUUCUUUCCAACAAAGUAUACUUGGCUUCAUAACUGGUGAACUUCUUUCUCAGAUAAUAUAUGGCUUGCUCUCUCUUCCCGAUUACAUCGUGUUGCCCCAAGACACAGCCAAAAAAAAUUUCUAGGACUGUUAGAUAUAAGAACAAAGGCCUUCCAGGCUCGGACGGAACCAACACUGGUAGAUUUGAUAGGUAUUCUUCGAUUUUAUCAAAAGCUUUUUGGCAUUCCUCUGUCCUUUUAAUUGCCGCAUCUUUCUUCAAUAGCUUUAAUAUGGGCUUAUAAGUGGUAGUAAGUUGGGCGAUGAACUUGCUGAUAUAAUUCAAUCUCCCUAACAGACUCAUAACCUCUUUCUUGCUUUUCGGAGGUGGCAAAUCUCGAAUAAACUUUAUCUUUGUCGGAUCUAAUUCAAUACCCAUUCGACUGACUAUAAACCCCAGGAGCUUCCUAGUCGGAACUCCAAAUGGACACUUAGCUGGGUUUAAUUUCAAAUCAUACCUGACAAAAACGCUUAAAGAAUUUCCUUAGAUCUCGUACAUGGCCUUCUUGCAUUCUGGAUUUAAUGAUUACAUCAUCCACAUAAACUUCAAUCUCCUAAUGCAUCAUGUCAUUGAAGAUGGUAGUCAUAACUCUUAUGUAGGUUGCCCCGGCUUUUUUCAGACCAAAUGGCAUGGCCCUGUAAUAGUAAGUGCCCCAGGGUGUGGUAAAAGAAGUCUUUUUUGCGUCUUCUUCAUCCAUCAGAACCUGAUGAUACUCAUCAUAACAUUCUACGAAAGACUGUAUCUCAUGUUUAGCACAGUUGUCAACAAGAAUGUGGAUGUUUGGUAGUGGAAAGUUGUCCUUGGGACUCGCCUUUUUCAAAUCACGGUAAUCAACAUACACUCGGGUUUUUCCAUUUUCUUCGGCACUGGAACCACAUAAGGGUGUUCAAAACCGAACCGAAACUGAAAAUCGAAGCUUAAUGGCUUAUUGGUAUUGGGUUAACGAUNNNNNNNNNNNNNNNNNNNNNNNNNNNNNNNNNNNNNNNNNNNNNNNNNNNNNNNNNNNNNNNNNNNNNNNNNNNNNNNNNNNNNNNNNNNNNNNNNNNNNNNNNNNNNNNNNNNNNNNNNNNNNNNNNNNNNNNNNNNNNNNNNNNNNNNNNNNNNNNNNNNNNNNNNNNNNNNNNNNNNNNNNNNNNNNNNNNNNNNNNNNNNNNNNNNNNNNNNNNNNNNNNNNNNNNNNNNNNNNNNNNNNNNNNNNNNNNNNNNNNNNNNNNNNNNNNNNNNNNNNNNNNNNNNNNNNNNNNNNNNNNNNNNNNNNNNNNNNNNNNNNNNNNNNNNNNNNNNNNNNNNNNNNNNNNNNNNNNNNNNNNNNNNNNNNNNNNNNNNNNNNNNNNNNNNNNNNNNNNNNNNNNNNNNNNNNNNNNNNNNNNNNNNNNNNNNNNNNNNNNNNNNNNNNNNNNNNNNNNNNNNNNNNNNNNNNNNNNNNNNNNNNNNNNNNNNNNNNNNNNNNNNNNNNNNNNNNNNNNNNNNNNNNNNNNNNNNNNNNNNNNNNNNNNNNNNNNNNNNNNNNNNNNNNNNNNNNNNNNNNNNNNNNNNNNNNNNNNNNNNNNNNNNNNNNNNNNNNNNNNNNNNNNNNNNNNNNNNNNNNNNNNNNNNNNNNNNNNNNNNNNNNNNNNNNNNNNNNNNNNNNNNNNNNNNNNNNNNNNNNNNNNNNNNNNNNNNNNNNNNNNNNNNNNNNNNNNNNNNNNNNNNNNNNNNNNNNNNNNNNNNNNNNNNNNNNNNNNNNNNNNNNNNNNNNNNNNNNNNNNNNNNNNNNNNNNNNNNNNNNNNNNNNNNNNNNNNNNNNNNNNNNNNNNNNNNNNNNNNNNNNNNNNNNNNNNNNNNNNNNNNNNNNNNCUCCACUGCUUUAUCAACUUUGCCUGGGUUUUAAGGCAUCCUAGAAUUCUAAGUGUGAUGAACAUUUGUUUUAACAACGGCCAAUUGAAAAUCUUUCACAUGGACUAAGAUCAAUGUGCAUAAACAUAAAUAAGAUUCUAGACAGAUAAUUUACCCAUCACAGUGUCUCUUUUGCUUCGUCCCUCUUAGUACAUCGACCACCUAUUUAAACAUAUAGAGACUAAAUUUUAUUUUAUUUUGAUUGAAUUAGGCUGAUAAACUGCCCGAUAAUAGUUAAACCAAUACCAAUUCGCCCGAUAUCUUAUCGGGUGGCUAGCGGAUUAAUACAUUUAAAAGCCGAUAACCGAUAAGCCAAACCGUUAAGAUUAAAUAAUCCGCCCGAUAAGUAGCCUUAGAACCACAUAAGGUAGCCUUGUGAUGUAUCGGACCACUCGGAUCACACCGGCUUUCAAUUGUUUCGUGACUUCUUCCACGAUCUUAUCACUAAUGUUGGUUUUGAACUUUCUUUGCUUCUGUUGGACGGAUAGAUAACCGGGAUAGGUAGUGUAAUGACCCGAUCAGUCGUUCCGAGAGUUUGAGCCCCGGUUUCCCCAUUUCUACUUCUUAUUGCCUUGUUCAGUUGUAUUAUAUUCUAUGGUAUCGGGUUAGCCGGUUCGAAUCCGAAAUGGUUUUGGUAAGGUUUGAGACACUUAGUCUCUAAAGUUAGCCUUUGAGUUGGAAAGUCAACCGGAAGUUGACUUGUGAGCAUUCGAUCUCGGAAUUUGGUUUUUAUGAUUUGGAUAGCUUCGGGAGGUGAUUUGGGACUUAGGAGCAUGAUCGGAAUGUGUUUUGGAGGUCCGGAGUAGAUUUAGGCUUGAAUUAGCGAAAUUGGAAUUUUGGUGCUUUCCGGUUGAUAUAAGAGAUUUUGAUAUAGGGGUCGGAAUGGAAUUCAAUAAAUUGGAGUAGGUCUGUUGUGUCAUUUGGGACGUGUGUGCAAAAUUUCAGAUCAUUCGGACAAGGUUUGAUAGACUUUUUUAUCAAGAGCAAAAUUUGAAAGUUUUUGGAAAUCUUAGGCUUGAAUCUGAUGUCAUUUUGUUGAUUCGAUGAUGUUUUAGGUGUUUUGAAGGUUGGUAUGGGUUUGGAUAGUGGCAUAUGACUUGUUCAUACUUUUGGUUGAGGUCCCAAGGGCCUUGGGGUGAUUUCGGAUGGUUGACUGGGGAUUUGGAGUUUGAGAUUUGUAGCUGAAGCUGCUGAGCCACUGGUAUAACCGCACCUGCGGCUUGGGGAUCGCAGCUGCGGGACCGUAGAAGCAGAAGGCUAGCUACAAAUGCGGAAGUUGGUGUAAAGGGCUGAAGCGCAGGUGCGGAUGGUUUGGUCGAACCUGCGAGACCGCAUGUGCGGAAGGUGAGGCGCAGGUGCGGACUUCUGGUUUUAAGUGAAAAUAGCAGAUGUUAUUCUUUGAACGCAGAUGCGGUACCGCAGGUGCGAUGUAUGGACCGCAGGUGCGAAAAGCUAUGUCAGAAUGUAUAAAAGGUUCCCUUCACGAAUUUUUGGUUAUUUCACUAUUUCUAAGACGGCUUUGGAGUUUUUUGGGAGAAUUUGAAGAGAUAAUUCAUGGGAACUUCAUUGAGGUAAGAUUUUUGAACAUUAAACUCAUUCUGAUGGUGUUAUUUCAAUGAUUAGGCUUGAAAUUUAAGGAAACUUUGUGGGUAAAUAUUGAAGAAACUAUGGCUUGAGAUUGGAGACCUUUGAUUAGGGAAUUGAGGGGUCAUUUGUUGUCGGAUUUUGGCAUUCUUGGUAUGUAUGGACUCGUGGGAGGAUAAGGAGUCUAUUGAUGUAAAUUUUAUCGGAUUUAGAGACGUGGGCCCGGGGGUCAGGUUUGGUCAAUUUCGAGAUUUGGGUUGUAAUUUGAUUAUUUUCACAUGGUCUUCGUCCCCUUAGCAUAUUUUGACGUCAUGAUUUUGAUUUUAGAUAUAUUUGACGCGAGUUGAGGUCAAGGCAAGAGGCAAGGGCAUUGCGGGCUAGAGUUUGGACCGGAUAGAGGUAAGUAAUGAUUGUAAUUAUUUGUCCUGAGGGUAUGAAACCCCGGAUUUCACAUCUUUAAGUCGUGUGUUUGAUUGAAAACUGUUUGAUAUCCUUGUGUUUUGGAAAUUAUUACCAUGUUAUGGGGCUGAAUGGUAUAUUUGGGCUUCGUGCCAACUAUUUUGGACCCUUAGGGGAUUUUUACUACUAUUCCUCACUGUUUUGACUUCAUAUUUAUACUCAGCCACACCAUAUUCUACUGUUUUCAUAAAUAAGCCAUAUUUACUCCAUUUUGAUAUUUUAAAUGAUAUUUUGGGCUGAGCAUCAUGUUUUACUAUUGCCCGAGUGGCACGAGAGAUUUCUGACUAAGUGAGGCUGAGGGCUUGUGUUGUGAGGAUAUUAUGGGAUCAGGUUGCGCGCCGCAGCAAUGUGGUAAUGAUUUAUGAUUAUGAGGCCGAGGGCCUGAUUUGUUACGCCAUGAGGUGGCUUGAUAUGAGGUCGAGAGCCUGUUUGAUUAUGCCAUGAGAUGGCUUAUUAUUGCGCUUGGGCCGUAAGGGGCCCCUCCCGGAGUCUGUACACCCCCAGUGAGCGCGGGUACCCAAUGUGAGUGAUAUGAUGCAGCUUGAGGGGCUAUUGUUGUUUCAUAUUGUUGCUAGAGAGGCUGUUCUUGAUCCGUGUUUGCCCGAGGGGUGGUUCUUGAUUCAUGUUAUGCCUGAGGGGCUGAUUACGAGUGAUUGUGAGGUAGUCUGAGGGGAUGAUUAUGUUCAUAUUAUGCCCGAGAGGCGGUUUAUGGUACAUGUUUUUCCUGAGGGGCUGUUUACAUUUUCUAUCAUGAUACUCACUAUUUUAUCACUCGUUUGAAACCAUUAAAAGUUGUUUUAAAAAGAUUUUUACUGAAACUGAGCUUGAUUUACGAGGUAAAUGAUUUGUGUACUGCUUUGGAAAUGAUCUACAUUUGUUGUAGUGUUAUGACGUGGUUUAUGUGUUUCUUACUGCUCAACUUUCAUUUGCUUUUAUUACUUACUGAGUUGGCAUACUCACAUUACUCCCUGCACCUUAUGUGCAGAUUUAGGCAUUUCUGAACCCGGUAGCGGGUGUUGAUUGCUUAGUGGCAGAGUCAGCGGAGUUAGUGAGGUAACUGCUCGACGUUCACAGCACUGCUUUUCUUCCUCUUGUCUUCCUUAGACUGUAUUUAGUACAUUUUCAGACUCUUUGUUUUAUUCAGACCUUAGUAGAUGCUCGUGACUUGUGACACCCUUAUGUCGAGCUUGUGUAUUAUUUUCGCACUGUUCAUUUAGACUUCCAUUAUGAGAUAUCUGAUUAAUUAAAGGCUUAAAAUGAUUGUUAUUGAUUAAAUGGUUAAUUCGGGAGUUGUGUCAGCUGGCCUGGUUUCCCGAUAGGCGCCAUCACGACCGGGUCGGUUUAGGGUCAUGACAGGUAGGCAGUUUAUGUAGCACCAAAUCAAUGCUCAGCCCUAGCAUAUCAUCAUAGGACCAUGCAAACACGUCUUUGAAUUCAAACAAAAGUUGGAUCAAGGCUCUCUUGUUCUUUCAUCAGCGUGAAUGCUUAUCAUGGUUUCUCGGAUCUCUUCCGAACUGCCCAAAUUAACUGGCUCGAUUUCAUUUAAGUUUGACUUAGGCAUAUUCUCAAAUUAUUCCAAUUCUCGAUUUAUUUCCCUAAGGGCCUCAUCUUCAUCAUAUUCCAUGUCUUGAUUCAUUAUUUUAAAGUGAGACAGCAUUUUAGGAUCUGAGCAUGAAGUCCGCAAGCAUGUCAUGUUAUUUAAGUCCACAUUAUUAGAACUUCAAAGAAAAAGAUAAGAAAAAUAACAAAAUCAGAACAAAGCAAAAGAGACAUCUAAGGAAGAUGAAAUGUUGAAUCCAUUUCAUUGAAUUUGAAAGAUAAGAGGGUUUACAUCUGAAGCAAAAGACAAUAAAGUAAAACAUUAGAGUUACACCCUGAAAUAACUCGUAACAUAGAAGAGAUGGCAAAACUGAACUAUCGGGAUUCCCGCCUGACAGGGAAUGGGGUAGCCUCCCAAUUCUGGAGAUUGAAAUCUGGUCCCAUAUACUGCACCUCGACAUUAUUCAUGCGUUUCUUUGGCUGGACCAUGUGGGACUCAUAUAGCAUUUGUUUUAAGGCUUCACAGAUAUCAUCGAUUUCCUCGGCCGUGAAGGCCUAUUUGUCUUCUUCCGCAUACUUUGGUUUGAAAAAUGAUUAGGCGAGAUGUGAAAUGGGCUGGGACAGGACCCACACUUUUUCUUUGCGUUCAUUAGCCCAUGUUUGUCGGCCUCUGUAGCUCGAAAACCCACACCGAAUCACUUCUCAUUGGUGAUUGAGGUAAUAGGCUCAGUGAUGCCCUGCAAAGAUACUCUGAGCCCCUUUCUGGGCUUGUACCCAUUUCUAAUCAUUUGGGUGGCGACCAUGACUGAAGCAUUAGACAGGCAAGGUUAAGGUAAUGAAGCCCCUUCUUCAAAUUGGUCAGCGACCACAAUUUCGAAAGCUUGGUACACAAUAUGAUCAUUACCUUCUCUAGCUUCAAGACACGGAACCGAAGGGUCCCGGUAGAUGGAUUGCUCAUCUUCUCCAUGGAAAACAAUCUCUUUAUUAUCAUAUUCAAACUUAACCAUUUGGUGAAGAGUGGAGGGAACAGCUCUGGCAGCAUGAAUCCGUGGUCUACCCAGGAUGAAAUUGUAUGAGGUUUUCAUGUCCAAAACAUGGAAGGUUACCUCAAAAUCUAUAGGUCCAAUAGUUAGAAUCAGAUCAAUUUCUCUUAUUGUGUCUCUCUUGACCCCAUCAAAAGCUCGUACGCAGACGUUGUUAGCUCGAAUUCUUUCUGUUGCAAUCUCUAUUCUCUAGACUGUUGAGAUAGGGCAAAUGUCUACCACGCAGCCACCAUCUAACAUCACUCUUUUCACAUAAUAGUCCUCACAUUUGACAGUUAGGUGAAGGGCUUUGUUGUGGGCAUCUCCCUCUCGGGACAAAUCAUCAUGGCUAAAGGAAAUCUUGUUGACCUCAAAAAAUCUUUCGGCCAUUCUUUCCAAUUGUUCGACAGAAGUAUCAACCGGGACAUAUGCUUCAUUCAGUAUUUUGAGGAGCACUUUCUGGUGUUCAUCCAAACUCAGCAGCAAAGAUAAGAGUGAGACCUUGGAAGGAGUCUUACGGAGUUGGUCAAAUAUUGAGUAUUCUGAAGUUUUCAUCUUUCUGAAUAAUUCUUCUUCCUCAUUGCUUACAGUUUUCUUGGAUUGCAUCCAUUUAUUCCUGUUCAGUUUGGACUUUUUCAGCUCUUCUAGGGUAUGAUACCUCCGAGACCGAUUCAUCUCGUUCAUUUCUCCCAUAACAUUUUUUUCCUUUUUAUGUAACCACUGUUCUGUUGUAGUUACAAGGAACUGAAAUAGGAUCUUUCAUAGGACUCUGUGUUACAAGGCUGAUAAACAUGGGCUCAGUCAGCCUUGAUGGAAUUAUCGGCCCCCACGCCACAUAGGUCCCCUUUGGUACAUAUAAUCUUAGAACAUUCAAUGUAGCCUUCCUUUCAUCGAAUUUCUUGGGAAUGUUGAGGAUAAGCUGUUCUUUUCUUGGGGCCUUAGGAACAUAUAGAUGGAGCUUGAAGUUUGGUUGUGAUUAGCCAAACCCCCUGAAUCAUUAUAGAUGGCUUGAGAGAUAGCUUUCAAGGCAGCUUGACUCAAUAUCCGGCCAAGUUUCAGACCUUUCUCUACCAUCUCCCCAAUCUUGAUGGUGUCAGCAAAUGGCUUACCCAUAGCGGACAUCAUAUUUUGGAAGUAAUCAGCCUUUUGGGCCUAUAGGAAGACUAUAACCAUUUCUGCUUCGUCCCUCAGAGGUUUUACUAUGGCGGCUUGCUCGCGCCAUUUGAUAGCAUACUCGGAGAAACUUUUCGCAGUUUUCUUCUUCAAAUUGGACAAGGAGUUUCUAUCAGGAGCGAUGUCCAUAUUAUACUAGAAUUGUCGAACAAAAUCUCGGGCCAAAUCAUCCCAUAUAUGUCAGUGGGUGAUUUCUUGAUCCAUGUACCACUCGCAGGAGAUUUUCGAUAAGCUUUCUAAGAAGUAGGCCAUCGGAAGCUCCUAUUUCCCACCAGCCCCUCUCAGUUGAUUGCACUAUCUCUUUAAAUGGGCGAUUGGAUCCCUGUGCCCGUCAUAUUUUUCAAACUUCAGCAUUUUGAAACCAGCAGGUAAAUAAACAUUGGGAAACAUGCACAAAUUCGAAUAGGAAACCCUUUUUUUUUUGCCGCUCAAGCCUUGCAUGUUUUUCAAGCUCUAUUCCAAGUUCUCAUCUUUUGAGCCAUUUUUUCCUGCUCGGGAUUUCUAAAUGUUCUUUCUUGCUCAAUUAGAGACUCAUACUGUGGUUGUUGGGCAUACGAGUCUAGAGUGACAUGAGUCACGUUAGGCUGAAAUUACGGACUUUUGAAGGUGAAUGUUAUUGGUUCAAAGCAUGGACUAGGCAUGGUUGGUUGUGCCAUGGUGAAGAUUGGUGAUGCGAAAAAUAGCGUUGAAGGUACCCCUGAAAACGAUGCAUGGGGGCGGACCUCAAAAGGCAUACCAGUAAAGUUGGAUGAUAUAUUAGGGUACCCAAAUGGGAUAAAUGGGUUGGUCAUAGGGAUGUUGGUGGUUCCACCCGUCCUUGGGAUCAGCUCAGGGAAUCAAGGGAUUGUACUUGGUGGUUCUCUACCAUUGGAACAGGCGUCCUCAUUUCCAACAUGCAGAGAUGUAGCCCAAGAUCGACAUUGCAGAGAUUGCUUUCUAAGGCUAUUGGAACCUUUCCUUUGGAUCUUGUAAAAUAGGGGUGAAAAGCCAGAUUACCGACAAAACCAACCACCUAACCAGAAUCUAGCUAAAAUGUACACACAACAACCUUGUUAGUUUUGAGACAUUUAACAAAUAGGGAACCGCACAUUGGGGAUGCAAUGCACUUGAACAGUCAAACGCUUCUAAAAUAUUUUUGCAACGGCUGCAUGUUUCAUCCCGGCUUUCACUAUCUCGUUUCCACCCUGUAAUCCUUUUCUUUCAUUUUCACGCUCUUUUUCUCUUUUGUUUUGUCAUUCCUGGUUUUCUCCUGUUGUUGUCACUCCUGGUUUUUCUUUCAAUUUUAUCACACUGUUCUUCCUUUUCUUUACUUAUUGUCCCUCAAUUUCCUCUCUUUUUUGUUGAUUAUCACUCAGAUUAAUUAUGGCUAUGAUUGCAUCCGAUAGGGAUUGCCUACGUAUCAAGACGUCGCAUGAAUCAGACAAUUACAUAGUUCAGGAGAAUAAAUGCAAAAAUAAAAGCAAAGAAAUUUUUGUGGUUUUCAAUAUUUCAUUAUAAAAUCUUUUUGGUUUUUCAUUACAAAAACUCAAAAAAAUUGAUAAUUGACUUAAAGAAAAACAUACAGACUCAAAAUAAAAUAGCAACAGACUCGACGCGAGGAAAAAGUAAAAUACAGACUCAAAGAUUGAACGAUCAAGAACACAGAUGAGACUCAAAUGUUAUUCCAGGGGCCCGAGUAGCUUCAGCUGGUCUCGGUGCAAGCCUGCUUGUAAGCUCUUCCUGAAGAAGCUCGAGGUCGGCCAUGACCUAGCGAGUGAAAGAUAGUACCGAAGUAAAGAACAUAGCUCAAGUCAUAUUUUCACACUCGUUGCAUUUCAUUGUUGUGUAGUCUUCUAUUUCCUUGAUUCUAAGCUUGAUAGCACCUUUCUCCUAGAGAAAUUGCCCAAUCUGUUGUUCCCGAACAUCCACUAUUUGCAUAGCCUCGUUGUUUUGGUUUUGCAAAAUCAACGUGCUUUCUUUCAAUCCGUUGAUCAAGGCAUAUCAAUGCUCCCUCUCUACCCUGAAGCUUUUCACUUGUUGACCUAUUUUGUUUUAAAAAAUGGCUAACUCUUUCCUUAAGAUCACGAUUUCUUUGUCAUAACUUUGCUUCACCUGGAAAGCUAGCCUUGUCUUUUCUUCAGCAUCUUUCCCCAGUUGGAUCAUCCUUGUGUGAGCUUUUGCCAAAUCUUUCUCGACCUUUGUCAGGUCGGCCGCAUAGUCAUGCACUUUUCAACUCAAGUUGCUCACGUUUUUUCAUCACUCUCACUCCUCACAGGAGUUUCAGCGGCUACUCUCAUCUCCCGAAGUUAUGCUCGGAGUGCCUCGUUCUCACGGGUCAGACUUUUCUUUUCACCUUCAGCCUCUUGCACAUGUAAGUCAUUCUUAAAUUUGAGGUUUCUCAGCUUUUCUUCUAAGGCACGAAUGGUUGCUUGGUAUCCCUUUUCCUUUUCUCCCCAGGCCAACUGUUCUCGGAUUUUAUCAUUAAAAGCCUGAACAUGAGGCCUUUUGGUAGGCUUCACGGGCUCGGGCUCGGGCUCAUCAUCAAUGCAAGACCUUUUCUCAAACCACAUAGCAUAACUUGGGUCUACCUCACCUCUUACAUGAUCUGGCACAUGGGUAUCAUCUUUCAAGUACCGGCAACCAUUCCAAAUUUGUUGGAUUAAAGUCUUGGGAAGUGGAGCUUCUAGGUGUAGUUCAAUGACUUGAACAUUCAAAUCUUCAUCCUGGGGCACCACUUGCUACCUUCCCAGUUGUCUUAGAACUCUCUGCAGCACAUACGAUUGGACACUUUUCAAAACCCAUAAGUAAUAGAUAACUUUUUAAAAGCCGACACGUGUAUCACUUCCCUUACCGGGAGCCAACCCAAAGUCCACUCAAUUUUACUUGUGUUCAAAUAUCUUAGGUGGGAUACCAAAGCUUCCACCCCUUCUGGAGAAUUGUAAUCUUUUACUUCUUCCUCGUAACUCUCGAUGAAGUUGUUCUUGUUUGGGCCAUAGCUCAUAAAUAUGGGGUGAUAAUGGAGAUGCUCAAUCAACCACAUUUGCAACAAAAUAUUGCACCUUCGAAGAACUUACUUUGCCCCGGAAUUACACAACGUCAAUGCCCGAUAAAUGUCUGACAGUAUAAUUGGAGCAAGCGCGUGAUUCUCUUUGGUAGUGAGGACUUGCGCAAUUCUGGCCAUGUGGAUAUCAAUUGUCCGCUCUUUAUUUGGGAAGACCAUAAUUCCCAAAAAUGCUACUAUGAAAGAAAAGCGACUGUAAAUUUGCCAUGUGUCCUUAUUUUGCUUGUUGUUUAGGCCCUUUUCAUGUAUUUCGAACCCAUUUGAGUGCCCAAACCUGGAAUACAGUAAUUAAAAGGAACAUCAUCCUUUGUGUACAUUGUUUUUCAUGAUUUGCUUACUGAUAUUCAGAAGAUCAAAGAAUCGAUGCACGGAGAGAGUCCUUGGGAAUAUAAGUUGUUGGUUUCCCAAAUCCCUACCGAAACCAAAAUAUCCAGCUAUUUCUUCUAAAGUGGGAGUAAGCUCAAAAUUUGAGAAGCAUAAGACAUUGUGAACGGGAUCCCAGAAGGUUACUAGGGCCUCAUUCAGAUCAUCUCGCGGUUUAACUUUCAUAAUAUCUGUAAGGGCUCCCAAAUGCUUCGUUACCCAAUCCUGACCAUCUUUCUCUAAGUCGUACCACCACAUCUGAAGUUGUAGUGGAGCAUGCUCUACAACCAUUAAUGGCGGGUUUUGGACAGUGCUCAUCUUGUACAUUUGGAUGGUUGGGGUUAGGGUUGACACUAGUUCUAAAGGACAAAUCAAUGGUAUCUUUUUGCAAAUCAACCUUUCAAUUUUCUAAGGCAAAACCAAAGGAAGGGCGUCUAUUUAUGCAAUAUUAGCCGCAAAGCAAAGAUGGCUAGUUUUGCAAUAAUGGACCCUUCACAUUUUGAAAGAAAGUAUGAGGCCGGGGAAGGGAACUUAUGACAAAAGUGAUGCCCAAUUGAUAGACAUGUCCAUUCUUACGAGAAUAGCCCUUCGACAAUUUCGGAGAUAUUCUAAGGCUAUUCCAAUAUAAACGGCUCAGGACGCAACCGAAGCUAGGUCAGCUUACUCAUUUGACCAAAACACUGCACACAUUUAUUAUUAUUUUUAUUUUUUUGCAAAAAUGAGGCCGAACCCUAUGGAGGUUGCCUACGUAUCUCACAUCCGGUGAGAAUCAGAACUGCGUAAUUCGGUCAGUUUUGACACAACAGGAAAGCACGCUUUUUGACUCAUUUUAAAAUGACUUUUCUAUUUAUUUUUUUCAAAAUUUUGGUAGUGUUUCAGGAUUUAUCAAAUACCAGAGUUUUUUAGAACCGGGUAAAUUUUCUUUCUCCUAUCUCAUUCUUGUUUUUUCUCCUUAUAUUCUUUCCCUAGCCGAUCAACAUGUAAGUCGAAACAAUUAAUGCACAAAUAACUCGUAGGAUGCAUCAGGACAGUCUUUUAUUUUGGGUACACCUGUCCUAGAUGAACCCAACCCCUGUGUUGAGUCCCCAAAGUCAAAUGCACGUGAUGCAAACAAAUGUUCGUCUUAGGGAUCCGGUAUUAGGCUAUGUUAUUCUAGGUUUAAAAUCCUGCAGGUGUAUUUUAGACAUGGCUUAGCCAAGCAGACAACUUGAACCGACGUGGGGGCAAUGUACCGGGAGCACGAAAGUUUGUCCGGCCUAGUUGCUGAUCCAGCCUCGUUCUAUUUGGUAUGACUUCUAGCAGAAAAGUGGGCCACGUGUACGUUUGCACCAUAGUUUAGAAGACUUAGAAGUUAGAAGGGAAGCGUAAGAAGACAGUUUAAUACAGUUCAAAUAAUAUCAAAGCGAUAAAUGAGCAGUAAUUAGCACAUUAGGCCCACAAAUACAAUAAUAUCAACAAUCAAUAAAUCCAAGUAUAGAUCACAUUAACAAGCUCGAAUUCUGAACUCUAAACCAGAGAUUCUGGGUUCGAUCCCCAGCAGUGUCGCCAGAGCUGUCAUACCUCCUUUUUCCGAAGAAUAUGGAGUUUUUCCAAUUAAGGUGACAUUAUUCAAAAUGGGAUUAUUUAUUUAAUUAGAGUCACCACUUGAAAUAUUUAUUAUGGUCCCAAAUCACCGGUUUAUUUUAAAAUCUCAAAUCGAGGAAAUUUACUCUAUUUUAAAGUCCACGAAACACAGAAGACCAGGUAAAGAAUUCUAUUUAUUCGGGAAAAGGUAUUAAGCAUUUUCGGAUUGCGUGGUUUUAGAAUGGUCCCUUUAAUCAUACCUGGCUUAAUUAAUUGCUAAUUACGUAUUUUAGAACCUAUGCGCAUUUUACCUUUUAUCGCUUUUAAUUAAGGCGCUAUGAAUUUAUCUUUGAAACGGAUCACAUGUGCGUAAAUCCGUUUUGUUUAUCGGGACAAAAUCAUGUCGCGCGUACAUGUACACAAUUAAAUAUCACUUUAUUAAUUAUUAAGAUUGUUUGGCCAAAGUCGUGUGAACGCAUACUUUGAUUUGUUUUGAGGAUUGUAGUUAUGUCACGCGAAUGUGUACAUAAUCACGAUAGAAGAUUUAGAACGCGCCUAAAGCUUCUUAUGCAUAUUCAAGACUUGUUUGUUCUAAACUAAAUUUGUAAUUGAUGUAGAAGUUCUAAUCGUACAAAGUUGGGAUGGAAGGGAUAUCGACACAACCCCCAAAAGUAGAUUUAUGCUAGUACUACAACUUCUGGUGUACGGGAAAAUUGUUUUGUUAAAAGGUUGGAUCUAAAAUCUUAUCUAAAUUUAUAAGAACCAUCUAAAAUUAUCAACUGCAAUUAAGUUGGGUACUGGAACACUUUCUAGAAAGAAAAUCCUCUUGCUUUGAUUUUUAUUGUUGAUAAGGUUGAAUAAUGGUGUUACGAGCCAUGUUAGAUUGAAAAUCCACAUUGGACCUUUAGCGGAUCAAGUAUGAAACGCAGAUGUGCUUGAGCUGAAGCCCAAAGCAUGAGAAAGCGGAUUGGCAAAUCUCACUGUGCCUAACACAUCUAAUUGGAAGUGGAAUGAAGAUAAUGCGCUUUACUCUCAUUUCUAAGAUAGCAUGACAACUUGUGUAUAAACUGCUAAAUGUGCUCAGAAGGACUGGGCCCAAUAGUGAGUGAGUCUAAAUGACUCCAAACCCAUGCACAUAUGGAAAGUUAACUUUACCCUAACCAUUUUGAGAUAAGAUUAUGGGCUUCCAAAUGAGCCCAGCACACACAAUUUCAGCAAAUUACAUUUGUAGCACUGUAAACAAAUAACUUAAUUUAAUAGAGGAAUUUUAAACUAAUAGCUACAUAUUCAUAUGAAUCAAUGAUUGGAGACAAUAUUAAUAUCCCUUUCCCGUGAUGAUUAUCAUAACAGAAUCAAGUAUAGUGGAACUAAGAAGGAACAACGAAACAGUAGUAAAAAUGAAUUAUUACAACACUGUUCAUUCUAAUAAAAUCAAUAUACAACUUCUUUUACAGCUCAAUCUGACUGUACUUAAUUACUCCAAACUCAAAAACUCCUAGGUGCAAUAUCAACAAUUAUCAUGAAAGGUAUUUUGUAUCAGAAAUGAGCAGAUUAUUGCAACUUCAGCAUGUUAUAUGGCAUUUUAGGCAUACAAUGAGGAGGAAAUUUAAGGAAUAACACAGUAUAUUCAACUUAUCACUCAAAACUAGAUUCCAAACAAUAAUCAAAUAAACACAACUUGAGGGGUAUCAAAUAAAUUAGCAAUGAUCAAAUAAACACAACUUACAGCAGAGUAGACAAAAAGAAAACAAAUCUCUGAAGUUGGGAAGGAGCAACAGCAAGAACAAACACAGCAGCAGAAAACAUCACACAAUAGCUUUAAACCUUACUCCCAAAAAAUCCAAAAAUAAAUCAGAACCAAUGGAACAGUGUUGAUAAAUUCUGAUUCCUACUUUUAGAAUGUUUUUUGUGAAAAGAAAUGAGUGAGGGUGAGUGUUGAUUCUCUGAAAAAUGCCAAAAUUCGUGUGUGUGUGUUAUGCAGAGAAUCAACGAAUAUAUAGGAGAAUGUCAACGGUAAAAAUGGAACAAAAAAUAUCUUUUUCAACCAAUUUUUGUAAAGUUAUCCCUUUUCAGUUAUUCUUUUUUCCUUUUUAAACCUUUGUAUUUUCUAUAUUCACUCCUCAGCCCUAACACCUGGCUACUUUGUUUUUUAUUUUUAUUUUUUUGCAAAUUAGCCCCUCCUAGAAGCUUCCUAGAUAACUAAACAAGAUUCCCUAUUUUUGGCAUACCCUUUAGCCCCCUCAAUUUCCUGUAUUUACUAUUUAUUUGAGAUUUAAAAUCUAAAAGCAGACUAACACUUAGAUCUUAGUUACAAUGGAUAGAUGUUAAACAUGACUUAUUAAGAAAUGACUAAUUAAUUAAGACAGAACAUUGACAUUUAAUUAAUUUGUAAGAAAACAAAAUGCGAUUUAAACUAUCAAUUUUGCCUAAACAUCAUGAUUAAGUAUUAAAAUAAAUCACUACUAACCUACCUCUAAACAAAUUUGAGUUUUGACCAAAUGAAAUUCAAAAAACAAAUAUAACUUGCCAAGAUUAACAGUUUAAAUCAAACAACCAAAUAAGUUCAGUCAAAGAAAUUAAUCCUAAGUAUAACCUAAACUAAGUGACAGAAUCAUAAAAAAUAAAAACUUUUAACCUAAUGCAAAUAUCUCAAAGGUGAGGAGCGGAUGAAAAGAGAUUACCUAUUGAAACUCUAUUGACAUGACAGAGAAAACCUCCGAGAAAAAUUGGCUGGCCAACAGCCAGCUGACCAAAACAUGACUUCUGAGAAACGGGAUGAAUCCCACAUCAGUGGAAAACUCGUGUCAAGAUCUUUCUACUGAUGUGAGUCUCAACUGCAAAAGAGGACGGAUUGGUCGAGGUUAUGAAGACAGAUUGCAUGGCGGCUAGGAUUUGGUUUUAAAUUUUGAAAUUUGAGAGAUUCAGUGAGUUUUUAGCAGAAAUUAAAAGCGGGAUAGUCAUGGGGAGAUUGUGGAGAUUGUAUGGUGAGAGUUCGGGUGGAUUUGGGGUUGCGCUGUCGGCAAGGGUGGCUUAUGGUGGUGGUAGGCGUUUAGGGUAUGAAAGUAUUUGAGAGAAGAUGAAAUGAAG
rnacentral:lncRNA from 1 species